UGGACCUUUAUAGAAUCUGUAGGUUCUUCCAGGGUAGCCUCUUGAUGGCCUCAUUCCCAUGUUUGUCAUUGGGACUUUAGCUACAUAAUCUUGAGGAUACCAUGUCAUUGGCAGCUUCCCUCCUGUUAUUUUACAUCAAAAUUAGCUUGGAAAGUGGGAGGUUUGAUGUUUAAAAUGUCCUUAAUGUGAUGAAAUCCCGAAACGAAAGAUUACCUGGAUUGGUUGUUCCGAAUAAAACAUCCGCAAUUGCAGUUCCUCCAGCUUGGCCUGGAUAACCAGCCCAUAUAAUGGCACUAACUCGAGGAUCAUUCUUAGCGAAUGAGACAUCGAUAGGACCACCUGACAUCAAGACCAGCACGGUUGGACCUCUAGAAGCUCGAGCCACUCGGGAAACAAGCUCUUGCUGGCGUCCAGGCAAGAGCAGCCCUACCCUGUCCCUGAAUUCUGCUUCUAUAGAUUGGUCAAGCCCCAUUACGAGUACGGUUGCAUCUGCCUCGUGGGCUGCAACCUCCGCCGCUCCAAACAGAUUGUUUGUGCCGCAAGCAACAUCUGAACACCCUGCCUGAUGAAUGGUCCUUGCAUAUCUUGAAAUACCUUGCAAUGGACUCGUGUAACCACAUGCCACUCCUGCAUCAAAGAAACAAAGGGAACCAUCGUAUUUUCAUAAACUUAGCUUUCACUGAGAAUGAAGCAAAUGAAUCAAAAAUGAGACUGGUACCUGCAUAAUUUCCUAUCAUUGUUACAGUGACAUCAGAGUUGGGCCCAAUAACAGCAACAGUGCGGUGGCGUGCAGUGGACAAUGGCAGAGAACCAGAGUUCUUUAGCAAAACUAU
rnacentral:lncRNA from 1 species